rnacentral:rRNA from 1 species
CGGACGGGUGAGUAAUGUCUGGGAAACUGCCCGAUGGAGGGGGAUAACUACUGGAAACGGUAGCUAAUACCGCAUAACGUCGCAAGACCAAAGAGGGGGACCUUAGGGCCUCUUGCCAUCGGAUGUGCCCAGAUGGGAUUAGCUAGUAGGUGGGGUAACGGCUCACCUAGGCGACGAUCCCUAGCUGGUCUGAGAGGAUGACCAGCCACACUGGAACUGAGACACGGACCAG